AUGGCUGGUGUUGAGAGCUGUGCUGAUGACCACUGCCAGUGUCAGAAAGGAUACGUGGGAAACCACUGUGGUCAACCGGUGUGUGAGACAGGUUGUCAGAAUGGAGGACGGUGUGUGGCUCCUAACCGCUGUGUUUGUACCUACGGCUUCACGGGGGCACAGUGUGAGAGAGACUACCGUACAGGGCCGUGCUUUGCAUCUGUGAGUAACCAGAUGUGCCAGGGCCAGCUGACGGGCAUCGUGUGUACCAAGACGCUGUGCUGUGCCACCGUGGGGAGGGCGUGGGGACACCCCCUGUGAGAUGUGCCCCGCCCAGCCUCACCCCUGCAGGAGAGGAUUUAUACCCAACCACCGUACUGGAGCUUGUCAAGAUGUGGAUGAGUGCCAGGCCAUCCCAGGUCUGUGUCAGGGUGGGAACUGUAUCAACACUGUGGGAUCCUUCCAGUGUAAAUGUCCUGCUGGACACAAGUUCAAUGAGAUCACACAGAAAUGUGAAGGUAAGACCACACACACACACACACGCACGUACACACACACACACACAUGCGCGCGCACACACACACACACAAGUCAGACUCAGACUCAUACUUACAUGUAUAUCAGAACAUUUAAAGGUCAUUUAAAGGUCAUAUUUUGUCAGAAGCAAAUAUUCAGUAUGCCCGGGGUGGAUGAGUACCAGAAGCUGUGCACACAGGUGCAGACCAGUCCAGGGGGGGGGCUCUCCCAGGCGGGGGAGGGACUCUCCCAGGGUACCACACCAAUCCCUUUCCAGCCUCCGCCUGGACCAGGUCCAUACCCUGGACCCAUCAUCCAGACCCAGAACAUCAGUACCGGCACUACUAACAUGUGUGCGGUAUACAGGAACCUGUGUCUGAAUGGCCGCUGUGUCCCCUCCCCUGGAAGCUACCGCUGUGACUGUAACAUGGGCUUCAGACUAGACUCACGAGGAGAGUGUAUCGAUGAUGAUGAGUGUGCGCGGGAACCCGUGUGUGAACGGAGAGUGUGUGAACACGGCUGGAUCCUACUUCUGCCAGUGUCCUGCUGGCUUCCAGUCUACUGCUACCAGGACUGAGUGCAGAGACCUGGAUGAGUGUGUGGCAAACGGUCGUAUCUGUAACAACGGAAGGUGUGUGAACACUGAGGGGAGCUUCCACUGUGUCUGUAACGCCGGCUUUGAGAUCUCUACUAACGGGAAGAACUGUCAAGGUCUGUCUCAAACACACCUCUCUCUCUGUUUGUCUUUGUUGAUCUCUGUUGAUCUCCUGUCUCCCCUGUUCUCCUCCUGUCUCCCCUGUUCUCCUCCUGUCUCCUCUGUCUCUCUCCCAGACAUUGAUGAGUGUGAGACUCCAGGGAUCUGUAUGAACGGCCACUGUGUGAAUACGGAGGGGUCCUUCAGGUGUGAGUGUAUGGCUGGUCUGGCUGUGGGUCUGGAUGGCCGCGUCUGUGUCGACACACAUAUGCGCAGCACUUGUUAUGGAGGAUACAAGCGGGGACAGUGUGUGAAGCCAUUCUUCGGAGCCGUGACCAAGUCAGAAUGCUGCUGUGCCAGUGUGGAGUACGCCUUUGGAGAGUCCUGCCAACCAUGCCCACCCCAAAACUCAGCUGAGUUCCUGGCCCUGUGUAGUAACGGCCCCGGCACCACCAGCGAUGGCAGAGAUAUCAAUGAGUGUGCUCUGGACCCAGACAUCUGUCAGAACGGUGUGUGUGAGAACAUGCUGAGGACCUAUAAGUGUAACUGUAACAUGGGCUUUGAGGUGGACACCACUGGAAAACACUGUGUUGACAUAGAUGAGUGUGCAGUGAACAGGUUACUGUGUGACAACGGCCUGUGCAGGAACACUCCAGGUAGUUUCACCUGCCACUGUCCCACCGGCUUCCUGUUCCACGCUGAGACGGAUGUCUGUGAAGACAUUGAUGAGUGUGAGUCGAAGCCGUGUGUGAACGGGGACUGUAAGAACAGCCCGGGGUCCUACGUGUGUCUCUGCUCAGCAGGCAGCACGCUGGACGCCUCUGGAACACAGUGUAUAGAGACCAGUAAAGGCACAUGUUGGCUGAAGGUGAUUAAUGGACGCUGUGAGAUCAACAUCAACGGAGCCACUCUAAAAUCUCACUGCUGCUCCACACUGGGAGAGGCCUGGGGAAGUCCCUGUGCCAAGUGUGAACCAGAUCAUUUCUGCACUAAGGGUUAUGCUAGAGUCAGAGGGACCAUCUGUGAAGAUGUUAAUGAGUGUGAGGUGUUUCCGGGGGUGUGUAUCAAUGGGAAGUGUGUGAACACCGUGGGUUCCUUCAUCUGCCAGUGUCCCUCUGGGAUGACCGUCGACGCCACCGGACGAACAUGUAUAGACCUGCGUACAGAGCAGUGUUAUCUGAGCCACGAGGAUGAGCGUUGUGGAGCCCCUAUCCAGGGUCGUCACCGUGUGGACGCGUGCUGCUGCUCGGUGGGUGUGGCCUGGGGCCCGGAAUGUGACGAGUGUCCGGAGAAAGGCUCUCAGGAGUACAGCCAGCUCUGUCCCAGGGGACCCGGCUUCGCAAACAGAGGAGACUUCAUUAAUGGACGGCCCUUCCUCAAAGAUAUAAACGAGUGUAAGAUGAUCCACAGCUUGUGCUCCAAUGGGAAGUGUAGGAACACCAUCGGUAGUUUCCGUUGUCGCUGUGACAACGGCUUCUCUCUGGACUCUGAUGAGAGGAACUGUACAGACAUCGACGAAUGCCGUAUCUCUCCAGACCUGUGUGGUCAGGGCACGUGUGUGAACACAGGUGGGGACUUCGAGUGCGAAUGUUUUGAAGGUUACGAGAGUGGCUUCAUGAUGAUGAAAAACUGCAUGGACAUUGAUGAGUGUGAGCGGAACCCUCUGCUGUGUCGCGGUGGUGAGUGUGUGAACAACGAGGGCAGCUUCCAGUGUUUGUGUCCCGACGGACACGAGAUUGCCCCCGACGGAUCCGCCUGUCUCGAUAUUAACGAGUGUGAACUGAGUGAGAAGCUGUGUCGGAACGGUCAGUGUGUGAAUAUGAUUGGACGAUACCAGUGUUCCUGUGAUACUGGAUAUAAAUCCACGGAGGACAGACUGGCCUGUGUCGACAUUGAUGAGUGUACGAUCCAGAAUGGAGGUUGUGAGACAUUCUGUACCAACUCAGAGGGGAGCUAUGAGUGCAGCUGUCGUUCUGGAUACGCCCUGAUGCCAGACCUCAGGACCUGCACUGACAUUGAUGAGUGUGAGGACAGUCCAGACAUCUGUGACGGAGGCCAGUGUACCAACAUCCCAGGAGAGUACCAGUGUCUCUGCUUCGAUGGAUUCAUGUCUUCUGAAGAUAUGAAGACCUGUCUGGAUGUGGAUGAGUGUGAGCUGAACCCUAACAUCUGUCUGAGUGGGAAUUGUGAGAACAGCAAGGGAUCCUUCAUCUGCCAUUGUGACAAGGGCUACUCCGUACGCAAGGGAACUAACCGGCUGCACAG